UGGCUCAGAGGGUAAAGCGCCUGCCUGCAAUGCGGGAGACCCAGGUUCGAUCCCUGG
rnacentral:tRNA from 1 species